rnacentral:lncRNA from 1 species
AAUGUUGAGCAUGUAAACACAUUAUACUUUUCUAAUAUAAUUCACUAUUUGAUAAUUUCAUUGCAUGUACGAUUCUAUUUAAUUUAUUUCAUACCAUUCAGUAUGUUUCAUAUCAUUUUGAAAUCUAUGUUACAAAAGACCAUCACUUCCUCUCCAUCUAUGAAAACUUUUCUUUCUUUAGCCACAACCACCACCAUCACCAUCACACAACCACAAUAUCUACUGAUACAAAAGCUACCGUUUCCUUCAUAUCUAUGAUCGUUGCUUCUUCUGUAACUACUACCAUAGUCACUACCACCAUAAUCACCAUCAUCGCCAAUGCCAUAAUUACCAUCACUAUAACAACGUGACACGUGAUCUUUAUGUGUCAUCACCGUCAA